rnacentral:sRNA from 1 species
CUUCCUCGAUCUGCUGCGGGGCGAUGAAAUGGAUAUGGCUGUCGAUGACGCCGGCAGUAAGAAUCAAUCCUUCGCCAGCGAUGAUCUCGGUGCCGGGGCCGAUGACGAUGGUCACACCUGGCUGGAUGUCCGGGUUGCCGGCCUUGCCGAUGCCGCUGAUGCGCCCGUGCUUGAGGCCGACGUCGGCCUUGACGAUGCCCCAGUGGUCGACGAUCAGCGCAUUGGUGAUCACCGUAUCGGCGCAGUCGGCGGUCUGCCGCUGGCUCUGGCCCAUGCCGUCGCGGAU